UAGCAUAUCAAUAAGCGGAGGAAAAGAAACUAACAAGGAUUCCCCUAGUAACUGCGAGUGAAGCGGGAAAAGCUCAAAUUUAAAAUCUGGUGGUCUUUGGCCAUCCGAGUUGUAAUUUAGAGAAGCGUCUUCCGCGCUGGACCGUGCAUAAGUCUCCUGGAAUGGAGCGUCAUAGAGGGUGAGAAUCCCGUCUUUGGCACGGACCCCAGGGCUUCUGUGAUGCGCUCUCAAAGAGUCGAGUUGUUUGGGAAUGCAGCUCAAAAUGGGUGGUGAACUCCAUCUAAAGCUAAAUAUUGGCGAGAGACCGAUAGCGAACAAGUACCGUGAGGGAAAGAUGAAAAGCACUUUGGAAAGAGAGUGAAACAGUACGUGAAAUUGUUGAAAGGGAAACGCUUGAAGUCAGUCGCGUCGACCGAGACUCAGCCUCGCCUCGGCUUGGUGUACUUCUCGGCUGACGGGUCAGCAUCAAUUUCGAUCCUUGGAUAAUGGCAAGGGAAAGGUAGCACCUUUAUAGGUGUGUUAUAGUCCUCUGUCGGAUGCAAGGGUCGGGAUUGAGGAACUCAGCACGCACCUUUUAGGUGUCGGGGCCUCGGCCUACGUUACGUGCUUAGGAUGCUGGCAUAAUGGCUUUAAACGACCCGUCUUGAAACACGGACCAAGGAGUCUAACAUGCACGCGAGUGUUCGGGUGGAAAACCCGUGCGCGUAAUGAAAGUAAAAGUUGGGACCUCUGUCGUGGAGGGCACCGACGCCCGGACCAGACCUUCUGUGACGGCUCCGCGGUAGAGCGUGUAUGUUGGGACCCGAAAGAUGGUGAACUAUGCCUGAAUAGGGUGAAGCCAGAGGAAACUCUGGUGGAGGCUCGUAGCGAUUCUGACGUGCAAAUCGAUCGUCAAAUUUGGGUAUAGGGGCGAAAGACUAAUCGAACCAUCUAGUAGCUGGUUCCUGCCGAAGUUUCCCUCAGAUAGCAGAAACUCAUGUCAGAUUUAUGUGGUAAAGCGAAUGAUUAGAGGCCUUGGGGAUGAAAACAUCCUUAACC
rnacentral:rRNA from 1 species